AAAAAGUGGGGUAAAUUUGGAAGGCAAAAUAUCAGGUGGAAUCAGUGAAAUCCAAACGGAAAAGAAGAAACCACGAUGUGGCGGCAACAAGCAUGUUCGGCAAACCCAGAUUCUGAUCAGAGCAUUUCCGAUGACGACCAAGACCUCGGCCACAAUUGGCCGGGAAAUUGCCUUUCUUUGGCCGCUUCUACAGAGAAAAAGGAAGGAUUAGAAAUUUUAUCACGCCUAGAGCGACUGAAAGGUACUCUUGAAAGUGGAACUAAAACUAGUAUUUUGCCACAUGAGCCAAGAAGUUCGAAUUGUGAAGAUGAUGUUGAGAUGCCCAACUUCUAUGACGAGGGUGAUUCCGUAUGCCCCCCAGAGAAGGCAAUAUCUAAAGAUGAGGAAAACAAUGUGCUGCCAAAGCUUUCCGCCAGGGUUGGAGCCAAGAAGUUCUCCGACGAUUCUUUACUUCGCGUUGGGAUUGAAAAACAGGGAAGCUUAUUCUCGUGGUCUUCUGCGAGUAAAGAGGCCGAGGCACUGAUGCAUCUGAAUGAACAUGCUUCAUGCAAUUCCAGACCAAAGAAAUCUUCUAAAUUAAAAGGUAAAGGCAAGCCAAGAUUUUCAUUCCGUUUCCAGUCACAUAAAGGACUAUCUUCGCCUGCUACUUCUAAAGAUGAAAAUAACUUGUCAUCAAGUAUCCUUGAAGCACCGGAAAGAUUGGAUGUGAUGGAGCUUAGAACCGAAGAAAAUUUAGUCGCUGAGCUUCCUGAAGAUAUUCAGGUUGAAGAGGAAAAUAUGUCGGAAAUUAUUCCCCAUGAAGUGGAAGCUCUUAGGCACAAAUGUAGCGAGCAAUCAAUGGCUGAACUUUUAUAUGGCCUUCAGGAUAACGCUAGUCUUCUGAGGGGAAACUCGGAAAAGAAUAGCAGUAAAAUAGGAAAAAGGCUACAGCCUGUUGUGAGGAGAAAUAUAUCUAUGUUGGGAGAUAGAACUGUAAACAAAGAAGAUUCCCCUGAUCUUGUAGAGAGUAGCGGAUCAUCAAGUGAUAGUGAGACGAGUGAUAAGGACCUAGAGAUCGCCAUGUCUGUGAAGAAAGGGCAAACGAUGGUAGACCAGUUCCAGGAAGCUUUAGGUGCUACUUUCUUAAAUGAUAAACCACAAGGAAGUGGAUUAUUUUUGAAACUGCAGCAGGUCAUGCAGAGAGAAAAAGAACAAGAGAUGGAUUUCGUGCAGAAGUUAAAGAAUGGAGAAUACCAAAAUGAACCAAACUGCAUUUAUGUUAAAAUCCUGACAAGAUGCUUGGAUGGAAAGCUGACCGUUUGUGACUGUCUCUUCAGCGAUAACAUUGAGAGCCUUGCAUGGUCAGAACCCCUCAAAGAAACGGCAAGUGAAGGAACAAAGAGGACUAUUAUUUUCAAUCCUAGAGUUCCCAACAGUGUGGACAGUGUCAAUGUAGAUCUUGAAGUUGGGAAUUGCAUUCGUAUUCAUCCACCAUGGAAGGAGAUUCAAGUGGGCAAUGACAAAAUCAUAAUUUUAGCUACUUAUUUUUCGAACUUCCAACUAACAAGUCCGAGUUUGGCAGAGGAGGUUUAAUUUUGGCAUUGCUUGACCAAUAUUCUGUUUCUUGGAGAACAACAACAAACUUAUUGUAUAUCAUAUUUGAGCUAACAAGAUGUUAGAGUACGUGAAAAAGCGUGCAUGGACCGUUUCAACACG